CCUACGGGUGGCUGCAGUGGGGAAUAUUGCACAAUGGGCGCAAGCCUGAUGCAGCCAUGCCGCGUGUGUGAAGAAGGCCUUCGGGUUGUAAAGCACUUUCAGCGGGGAGGAAGGCGUUAAGGUUAAUAACCUUGUCGAUUGACGUUACCCGCAGAAGAAGCACCGGCUAACUCCGUGCCAGCAGCCGCGGUAAUACGGAGGGUGCAAGCGUUAAUCGGAAUUACUGGGCGUAAAGCGCACGCAGGCGGUCUGUCAAGUCGGAUGUGAAAUCCCCGGGCUCAACCUGGGAACUGCAUUCGAAACUGGCAGGCUAGAGUCGUGUAGAGGGGGGUAGAAUUCCAGGUGUAGCGGUGAAAUGCGUAGAGAUCUGGAGGAAUACCGGUGGCGAAGGCGGCCCCCUGGACAAAGACUGACGCUCAGGUGCGAAAGCGUGGGGAGCGAACAGGAUUAGAUACCCUGGUAGUC
rnacentral:rRNA from 1 species